AAGAAAUGGACACAGGUGACAGUGCAGCUCCACAUGUUUGCUUUGUACUGGUGUUUCUCGCUGCUUCUUACCUUCCAUGUGCUGAAGUUGGACAAAGGUUAAAGGAGAGGCUCUGGAAGAAAGUGCUGCUUGGUGUUUCCGACUACAUUUCCUUCACUUUGCUCAAAGUUCCAGCAGAAGGCUCCGUACCAAGCAAAGCAGAAGAAAUCCAAGUCGGCCGAAUUUCUGAUGGGGGAAGAGGAGAGAGCAGCCGCCGAAGGCACCGACAAGCCCGCUCCGAGUGGUGCCUGCGCCCGGGAAGGAGGAGCGAUGCGACGUGACGUGCCGAGCGGCACCCUUGCAGCUGGCGGGGCGGAGGCGGAGCGGCGACUCUCGGCCGCGGCGAGAGGUGAAACCUCAGCGCUCGUUACGCUCAAGUGCGGCGACGGCGCUCGCGUGCCCCGUCUCGCCCCUUCCCGCAUCCCCGGCCCGCGCGCCCUGGCCGGUCUCUCGGGCAGAGCAAUGCGGCGCGCGCCUUCCGUACCCCCCCAGCCCCAUCCCCGUGACAUAAUGCUUCUUACAUUUUGUUGUUGCGUAGCAGAUGCUUAUGACACACGGUGCUCGACCGGCGUCGCAGCCGCGCGGGACAGGCCCCUCUCUCCGCAUCACGACAGCGCGAUGUCCUCUCCGGCGGGGCGUCACCCGGCAACCGUCACGUCGGCGGCGACUCCCCCUCGCUGCCCGACAGGUGACGUCGCACGGCGUGCGCGCUACGCCGGGUGCGGCGCGCGGAACCUGAGCCGUCGACGGGCGCGAGAACGAGCGGCUCGAGAGCUUCGCUCCGUCCCGGAUGGGCGAGGUUUCCGGCGCGGAGACGACGGAGCGAAGGACGGGACGAGGCGGGAGACGGGAAAACGAUCUGUUUGAAAUGCCUAGUGGUUACAGCUCCUGUCUCUGGAUCGGAAGGUUGUAGGUUUGG